rnacentral:rRNA from 1 species
UACGUAGGGUCCGAGCGUUAAUCGGAAUUACUGGGCGUAAAGCGUGCGCAGGCGGUUUUGUAAGCCAGAUGUGAAAACCCCGGGCUCAACCUGGGAACUGCAUUUGGGACUGGCAAGGCUGGAGUACGGCAGAGGGAGGUGGAAUCCACGUGUAGCAGUGAAUGCGUAGAGAUGUGGAGGAACACCGAUGGCGAAGGCAGCCUCCUGGGCUAGUACGUGACGCUCGAGUGC